rnacentral:lncRNA from 1 species
GGUUGAGUUUGAUCUAGUUUUGUUGGUUUGGUUCCAUUAAUUUGGAGAUUUGUUUGAAUGAAUCAGUUUGGUGAGGUAAUACUCACAAUUUGAUGGUUUGGUUUUGUUUGGUGAAUCGAGUUCUCACAAUUUGGUUUUGUAUGGUCUCUCUUGUUUGAUUGUCUCUCCCCUUUUGAUUUCUUCUUUGUUUGAUUAGUAGUCUCCCUCAUUGGCUUCUUCUGUUAAAUUGGUUCUCUCUCUAUUUGGUUCUUCUCUUU